rnacentral:rRNA from 1 species
UACAGAGGGGGCAAGCGUUGUUCGGAAUUACUGGGCGUAAAGGGCGCGUAGGCGGCCUUCUAAGUCGAACGUGAAAUCCCCGGGCUCAACCCGGGAACUGCGUCCGAGACUGAAAGGCUCGAAUCCGGGAGAGGGAUGUGGAAUUUCAGGUGUAGCGGUGAAAUGCGUAGAUAUCUGGAGGAACAUCGGUGGCGAAGGCGGCUCACUGGCUCGGUACUGACGCUGAGGUGCGAAAGCGUGGGGAGCAACAGG